CUAAAGUUAAUCGGAGGGAAGGGAAUGGAGGGUUAUGGUAUGAGUGCAGGCAGGUGGGACUAAGUGAAAAAAAGUUGUUCGGCACGGACUUGUAGGGCCGAGAUGGCCUGUUUUCAUGCUGUAAUUGUUAGAUGGUUAUAUGGUUGUAUGGUUAUAUCAUCCAAUCGAAAGCAGCUCUGGAAGCACACCCAUCCCUGCCUUGCCAUAAUGAUCGAAAGCCAAUCGCAAAUCCACACGACGCCACACAGAUCAAUAUAAGCAGAAGAACUCAGGUUAUAUUCCACAUUUCAUUUCCAGAUCUCUCAUCCAGAAAAAAAGUGUUACUGCAGAAUAAUGGUCGUGACACUUUUCUUCCUUUUCGGGAUAUUGCUGAUGUCUCAGUCAUUUGUAAACGGCGAGUCGAAUCCAGGCGAUGCUGAUGACCGUUGCCAUAAUAGCGUGGGAGGAAUAUGUCGGAGUGCGUGUCGUAUCGGAGAAGUAUGGACAAUCGAGUGUGACAGUGGUAGAAUCUGUUGCAUGCCAGAUGCCGGUGUCAGAGAAUUGUUUUAAUUCCUGUGAAAUUGCUCGUAUGUUGUAAAACAUACUUGACUAAUAAAAUCUGAUUCGUAUUCUGA